CCCCACCCACCCCGCGCCCCGGGGCGCAGGCCCGGAGCUCAGCCACCGCCUCAGUGGCUCGAUGCGUCCGGGCGGGGUUCGGGAAGCCGGCCCUCCAGGCCGGAGCUCGCGGUGUGACCUUAGGAGGAGUGAAACACUAGAAGAGCUGAUUUUAAGUUCACAUAGAAAACUAAGCCAGGAGUGGUGGCACAUGCCUGUAAUCCCGGUACAAGGCAGGCUGAGGCAGGAGGAUCUAUGUUCAAGGGAGGUUGAGACUCCAUAGCAUAGAUCAAUGGGAGAUACAGAAAUCCAGAAAUAGAUCCAAAUGCCCAUGAGAAUGUAGGAGAUGAUAAAAAAAUUUCAAAUUUAUUGAGAAAAGAUGAGUCCAUCAAAGAGCUUGAAUCCUGGCACAGUGGCUUGGGACUGCAGUCCUCAAGAUACUCAGGAGACUGAGGCAGGAUUACCCUUGAGUCCAGGUGUUCAAAACCAGCCUCAUCUCAAAAGCAAUCUCAAAAACAAACAAGUGAGGCAUGGUGACCUGUAAUCCCAGCACUUGGGAGGCUGAGGCUAGAGGAUUGCUACAAAUUUGAGAUCAGGCUGGGCUACAUGGUGGUGCCUGUGUGGGCAGCACAUGUACUAAAAUCGGGCCACAUGGUGAAUUCAAGGCCAUCCUGGAUUACACUGGGAGACUUUGCUUCAAAAAAGCCAAGCCCACAGGUGUGGUGGUGUGCACCUAUAAUCCCAGCACUCAGGAGGCUGAGGCAGGAGGAUUGCCAGGAGUUUGAGACCAGCCUGGGCUACAUAGUAAGUUCAAGCCCAGCCUGAACUAUAUAGUGAGGCUUUCUCUCAAAAUGAAAUUAAAAAAUCAAAACAGACAUCAAGAAAAGGAAAUGAUCUACAAAAAAUAAAAUUGGAUUCAUAAUUUGUAUCUUAGAAGAAAUUCUAAACAAACAAGUGCUCAAUAGUAGAGCACUGGCCUCAUGUGUGUGAGGCCCUGGGUCCCUUCCCUAGCACCACCAAAAGAAUAAAAAUAAAAAUAAAAAUAAAAAAGCCCCCAAAAUAAAUUAAUGAACAAGACGUAAUCAUCUCAGUGUAGAAAGGAUCCUUUUUAAAACCAUCACACGCACAUACAGGACACAAAACUCAGAAGCCAUAAAAUUAAUGAAUUAACCAACAAGAUACAGUCACCUCAAUGAGGAAAGAGUAUUUUUUUAAACCAUGACACAAAACCCAGAAGCCAUAAAAUUUUAUUUUCAUGAUACUGUGAAUCAUAGCAAGGUCAAGAUGAUUAAUUAAAGAAAACAUUUACAGUUUAUGUCUUUAUUUUUCAGUACUGAGAUUGAACCCAGGGCUUCAUGCAGGCCAGGGAAGUGCUCUACCCCUGAGCUACAUCCUCGCCCUGGAAUGUGUAUCUUAAAGGACUUUCAUUGCAAUCAGAAGCCAUAGUCAGUGGAGAAAGGGGCAAAUCACAGAGAAGAGACAUGACUCUCACCCAUGAAAAAGUGCUUGAGUUCACACAGAGAAAAAAAUACAAAUUAAAGUUUCAUAAACAGAAAAAAAGAAAACCUUCACUAAGAGACUGUUUCCCACUUUUCACUUUGGCAAAAAUUUUUAAAGCAUAGCACCUUCCUAGUUGGUGAGUGUUCUGGAAGUCAGGCUUUCUUAGGCCCUGGUGGAGGGGUGGAGAGGUGAGUAGGCAGAGGGACAUUUGACUCCCAAAAUCAUCAAGAGGAUAAUUUUGCUUGGCCCUUGGAUAAGCAAUUCUAAGAAUCCAUUCUACAAGUGACUCAUUUUUUUAAAAUUUUUUUUUUGUCUUUUUCGUUUUUAUCGGUACCAGGGAUCGAGCUCACGACUGCCUGCUUGCAAGGCAGGUGCUCAUGCUGCUGAGCUAAAUCCCCAGCCCCCUGACUCCUUAUUUUUUAACACUGUCCGUAUAAAGCUACUCCCUGUUUGGAGUAGCAGAAGUCAGUUUUUACACCAAGCAACUUAAAUGUCAAUCAGUAAGGGACCAUGUUAUGGUACAUCCAUACAGAGGAAUACAAUACAGCUGUAAAAAGAGAUGUGUGAGUAAGAAAUCAUCUUCAAAAUAUUUUGAUUUGUACAGAACAGAAUGCAUGGACUCUGACCAUUUGAGUUUUAAAAAAGGAUGAAAAAUGAUGCAUAGUUGGUGUAGGGUAUUUUCUGAUACUUCACACAAUAUGAUUUCCAUCCCAGUUCUCCAAUAUCAACAAAUGAAUCAAAAUGAGCACAGUGCUGGCUCUGAGGUAGAGUUCUGCAUAAUGUGUGCACAGGGCUUGGUUCAUUCCACAGCUCCACAAAAAGAAAAAGAAAUAAAGACUACAUUUCUUUUUUGUUUGUUUUUUGAAACAGAGUCUCUCACUAUGCAUGCAGCUCAGGCUAAACUUGAACUCACUACAUAGCCCAAACUCAUGGCUGGCCUCAAACUCAUGGCAAUCUUCCUGCCUCAUCUUCCCCAGUGCUGGGAUCACAAGCAUGUGCCACCACACCCAGUAUGUUUUGUUUUGUUGUUUUGAGACAGGGUCUCACUAUAUAGUUCAGGCCAGCCUUGAACUCACAGGGAUCCUCCUGCCUCAGCCUUCCAAAUGCUUGGAUUAUAGACAUGUACCAUGCCUGGCUCCACUAGGAACUCUUCAAGUUAGUACAGACUCCACAUGGCAACUCCAUUCCAUAGAGCUGGCCCCGCUUCAAUUCCAACCACAAUCAGGGCUCCCACCACCUCUCACCUCUCUUACAGUGGGCCAGGAAGCUUAUAGAACCCAGGCUUUUACUUAGUGCCAGCACAGCCAGAUGCAGGAGAUGUGCAGAGCUAGGAUUGGGUUCCCUCCCAGCACUUCCUGGUUACAGUCUAUCACAGGCCUCCCCACCUGACUUCACACCCUCUAGACAGGUCUUUCUGAUGACCAGCCCCUACUCGUCACUAUAUUGGCAUAAACUCUCCUUACAGAUAACUCAGAGACUUUCAUGACAAAAGACACUUCUGCCAGGUGUGUUGGUGCACACACCUGCAAUUCCAAUACUCAGGAGGCUGAGGCAGGAGGAUCUCCAUGAAUUUGAGGCCAGCCUGGGCUACAUAUUAAGCCCCAGUAUCGAGACCCUGUCCCAUAACACACACACACACAUGCACACACGCAAACACACACGCACACACAAAGGACCAGAGACAAAGGCCAGAUAGCACUGGGUGGUGACUGCACAGCAGUGGCAGUCUUGAACAGCAGUUGAGGGUGGGAGUGAGCCAGUGGGGCAUAGGGUGGGCUGCAGAGACAGCAGCCUCAUGACUUGAUAUUUUUUCAAGUAGCAAUCAAAUGUGGAAACACACACACAUGUACAUGUGAUCGUGUAUGUUUAGAUUCUCUGGAAGGACACAGGAAGGCAUAGCUUUCACGGCUUCCAGGUUAGGGAAGCAGGUGGCUGAGAGCUGAGACAGGAGGACCACUCUUGGCUCCGAAGCUGCGUGUGACUCUGUCACCUGUUUGAAAACCAAACAGUUUUUAGUUGUUGGCUUGGUCUCUACAGUCCUCAGUCCAGGGGCUCUCACCUCGGACCCCUAGAGCCAUCUCCAAGAGCCUGUGGGGCCAUCCGUGCUCCUUGUGCCUCCCCAGGCCCAGCCCUUCCUGUCCCCAAGCCACAGUUCCCUCCGUGCAGUUUCCUCUGUCACCACACCCAGGCCUCACCUGUCACACACGCCCAUGAUCUCAGCUCUCCCCCCUCCCCGUGUAAAUCCCACAGCUCCCAUUGUAGUUAAUAUGGGUGCAACCAUACGGAGGUAUGGGGAGAUUAAACAAACCGACAUGUGGAAUUCGAAUUUAAACUGUUUGGCUCCAAAGACAAAAUCUUAAUCACUACUCUAGGCUGACUCCAUCAAUACCCAGGCCACCUUCGUUGGGCAGCCUUCUCCACUCUGCUAACAAGACAUGUAAGUGCGUGCGUGCGUGCGUGCGCAUGCGCAAUUCCAGGAGUCCCAUGCAGGGCGUUGCGUGUGCCAAGCCCACGCACCACCACAGACCACACAUUGCUUAUUUGAGUUCUGUUUUUCUGGGGAGAAAAACUGUAUUAUAAUAAUCAGUACAAGAGGCUCCACUGGCAAACUUCCUCUCAAAGCGUGCUGGAGUAUUGGCCGGCUCAGGUUUUGGCAACAGUGCUGGAGCGCAGUUUUAGAGCUGGCAGUAGAGCUGUCCAGGAGGAGGUGAAGGACCUAAAGCUGUCAUUGUCCUGUUUGAGAAUCUAAAUGACUGGAACGUUUGGUAAGGAAGAAACAAGCUGCUUACCUCCUGUGUCAGAGCCCUUUCUUUUCAACAGAACUGAGGUCUCUGGCCAUUUUUUCUAGGACAGCAUGGCAUAUUGAGUGUCUUUCAUUAACCCAACCAACAGGAGCUUGUAUGUCUUUGGAUAAGUUUAUGUUUACAAAUGUUAUUAUUAAAUACUAUUACAAUAAAAAAUAAUCAGUACAAGCCAGGCAUGAUGGCACAUGCCUGUUAUCCCAGCACUUGGGAGGCUGAAAUAGAAGGAUCACUAAGAGUUCUAGGCCAGCCUGGGCUACAAAGUGAGUUCAAGGUCAUUGUGAUCUACCGAGUGACCCCUGAUGCAAAAAAAAAAGAAAAAAAAUCAGUAUAUUAUUUUUAUUGCAGUCCAUUAAACAGGCUUAGCCUGAAGGCAUUUCUAGACUGCCUUUGAACUUUCAUCUGAGCUUUUUCCAAGAGGUACCAGGCCUCUUCCAAGAACUGCGUGUCCCUCAGCUCAUUCCACCCCUCUGCUGGAGAUCUCAUCAUCCACAGGAGACAUUACAGUGGAGAAACAGGCUUAAUGGAAAGUGAUGGACAGAGCUGGUACAGAGCUUGCGUCCAACCCUGACAACUCCCUCCCCUUACCCCACCACCCUAGAUCAGGAAGCCAAGCCAGGACCUAGACAGGGGGUGUCUUGUAGGCACAUUUAUUAGGGGGCCUUGAUGAGAGUGGGAACAUGUCACGGGUUGAGAGGGGCUUGAAGCCCACCCAGCAGAGCCUUGCACCAGGCAAGCAGGCCUGGAGCUCUUCGCUCCGUGGACACAGCCUUGAAUUCAGCCUGGACAGUGAGACCUUGUCUCAACCAAAAGAAAACCCAGGCGUAGUGGCUCACGCCUGUAAUCCAGCACUCAGGAGGCUGAGGUAGGAGGAUCCUUGUGAGUUUGAGACCAGCCUGGGCUACAAAGUGAGCUCAAGGUCAGCCUGAACUGCAUAGUAAGACCCUGUCUCAAAAAAGACAAGAAAAAAAGAAAGAAAGAAAGAAAGAAAGAAAGAAAGAAAGAAAGAAAGAAGAAAGAAAAGCAGCAGAGGGCUUAACUGCUCCUGUUGCCUCCAGCCCUCAACACUCAGCACCGAAACACAUCUGGAAAGGCCACUGACCUCUCCACAAAGGGGAAAAUGAGGCCCAGAGAAACACAUGACAUCAAAUCCAAAAAAACUUGGAUUUAGAGCAAGAUGAAACGGGAACUCAAACACUUCAAGGUACUUUUUUUAUUAUUAUUUUUAUUUCUUUGCCUCAUUUUUACUAAGUUGGUUUAUUUGAAAGUGCAGAAAAGGGAGACAAUAGCUAGUUACUCAACCAGUAGGGAGCAUCCGAAAGCGAAAUACUCCUGUGUUUUGCUUUUCUGAGGCAAGUUUUCACUAUGUAGUUUAGGCUGGCCUCGAACUCACAGUGAUCCUCUUGCCUCAGCCUCCCAUGUAUUGGGAUUAUAGGCGUGUGCCAUCAUGCCCAGCUUUUAAACUACUUUCUUAAAACCUCCCUCUUCCUCCUGGAGAUGCCAACUCGGGACUCAGUAUAUGUGGAAACCUCCAGCUCGAUGUCCACAAGCAGCCCAGCCUCCUGUCGCCAGAAAUCUGACCUUGGCUCAGGAGUUACCUACUACAAACCCCAAAGGUGCAGGCCAGCGCUUUAUGUAGCCUGCAGGUGGCCCCACACCCAGCUCCUCCACCAAUGAGUCCUCUUGAAAGGGGUGGGACUUAGUCCUUGUCUAGCGCUUCUAUCAGCGAACCCGUCAUCACCCACACAGCAACCUCGGCUCCCAGGGUGAAGUCUCUACUAGUUUCCGCUCCUGGAAGAGCAGGCUGUGGACCCCAGAGCCCGGAACCCCGCAGGAUAGGCAAGAGCCCAAUGCAGCAGCAGGGAGUUCCUCAAAAUAAAGUCUAGACUUCCACAGUUUAUGAAUGAAUUCUAUUUUAUUAAUUAAUUAAUUUAUUUAUUUAUUAGGUACCAGGAAUCAAACUCAGGACCUCAUACUUGCCAGGCAAGUGCUGUGCCACUGAGCUAAAUCCAUGGCACUUAUUUCAUUUAUUUUUUGUAACUGGGAAUUGAACCCACGACCUUGGUACUGAGCUAUAGCCACAGGUUUUUGUUGUUGUUGUUGUUUGUUUUUUGUUUCUGAGAGGGUCUCGCUAUGUAGCCCAGGCUGGCCUGGAACUUACAGCAAUCCUCCUGCCUCAGCCUCCCACGUGCUAGGGUUACAGGUGUGCGCCACCACACCCAACCUGGGUAAGUAAACCUCAAUUCACAGUGUGUCUGGCCAGAAUGGAGGCUCUGGGUCUCUAUGAAUAUCUCUGAGUUUCUUCGCCUCUUGGGGCAUCUCUGGAUCCCCAAAUCUUUCUGUCUUUCAGAAUCUCAGAGCUUCUUGGUGGUCCUGAUCUCUGAGUCUCUGGAUUUCCCAGUCUCUCAGUCACCGCGGCUCCUGUUCUUUGAAGCUUCAGUGCCCUUGGGUUUUGGCUCCCCUGGACCUGUCCAGUACCUCUGGGUUUCAGGGUGUGCCUCUGGCCCCCUCCCAUCUCCCUAAGAUCCCCAGGAAGGUCCUCUCCACUGGAUCUCUAUAGCCUCCACUGGAUCUCGACAGCCACCUGCUUCCUGUCCAUGCAUACCUGUGGUUCCCUUCGCAGGUUUCCUCCUCUGCCCAACAAGGAAAGUGGGGGAACCCACCUAAAACCCCGGUGCUCACCAAAGCACUGAAGCCGAGGCAACCCCAUGAGGUGGGCGUUGCUAGCAGCCUCAUUUUACAAAGGAAGAAACAAACUUACUUGCUGGGUACGGUGGCACACACCUCUAAUCUCAGCUACUUUUGAGGCUGAGACAGGAGGAUAUCAAGAUCAAGGCCAACUUUGGCAAUUUAGUGAGACCCUUGAAACAUACAUACAUACAUAUGUAUAGAUGGAUGUAAACAAAUUUUUUAAAAGUAAGAAAGCCAGUGUGGUGGUCACACACCUUUAAUCCUAGUAUUUGGGAUGUUGAGGAAGGAGGAUCACUGCAAGUCUGAGUCCAGUUUGGGCCACAUGGUGAGUUGAAGUCCAGCCUGUACUACAUAACAAGACCCUGUCUUGGGCCAGGGGUUUAGCUCAGCAGCAUAAGUGCCUGCCUGGUAAGCACAAGGUCAUGAGUUCAAUCCCUGGUACAAAACAAACAAAACAAAAAACCUGUAUCAAAAAAUUGAAAACAAAAGUAAAAAGAAAAUAAAAGGAAAAGGGCUGGCAUGUAGCCCAAUGGUAGAGGGCUUAUCUGGCAUGCAUAAGGCUCUUGGGUUCGAUCUCCAGUACUAUCAAACACACAAAAAAAGGCAAUGCUCGGGGCUGGGGAUUUAGCUCAGCGGCAUAAGCGCCUGCCUUGCAAGCAGGCAGUUGUGAGUUCGAUCCCUGGUACUGAUAAAAACGAAAAAGACAAAAAAAAAAAAAAAAAAAAAGAAAGAAAAAAAAGGGCAAUGCUAAAGUAAAACCCAGAAAGGUUAAAUAACUGUGGAUAGCCACACAGUCAGUAAAUAGCCAAGUUUUCAUCUGGCUGCCUGGUCUGAUAGCAUCUGAUAGGGGAGUCUGGGGCCCAGCCGGCUGGUCCAAGGUUGUUUCUGGCUGAAGCUUUGACAUGGAGAAGGUGCUGAGCGCACUGUAUGAGCUACUGCACUGGCUGGCUCAGCCCCUCGACCCCUGGUACCCGGCUGGAGACGAGAAUACAGCACAGAGGCCUGGCUGUGGUGAGCUGCCUUCACCCUGGGAGGGUGGGCUAAUCGCAGAGCCAGCCCCAUAGAUCUGUCCCUCUCUAAAAAGAACAUGGAGCCAGGCCUGGUGGCGCAUGACUAUAAUCCCCCCCACAAUGUGGGAGGCUGAGGCAGAGGAAUUGCAAGUUUGAACUCAGCCUGGACAACUUAACAAGAAGCUGUUUCAAAAUUUUAAAAAGGAAAAGCUGAGGAUGUAGCUCAGUGUGAAGGCCAUAGGUUCAAGCUUCAGUUUGGGGAAGAGUUUUGGGGCUGGGGUACAGCUUAGUUGUAGAGACUGCCUAGCAUGCUUGAGGCCCUAGGUUCAGUCUCCACUGAUAUCCACGCACACUAGCUUCCUCUAAAGUUAGCAUCUUACGCAACUGUAGUACCAUUUCAACCAGGAAGUUGAUGUUGGUACACCCAAAUUACAGACCUUAUUUGGAUUUUGCCAGUUUUUGCAUAUGCUCUUUUUGCUUUGCUCUGGUUUUUGGCAUCCAGUUCCACAAUUUUUAUUAUACCUUUUUACUAGGAAUUGAACUCAUGACUUCGUGCUUGCCAGGCAGGCGCUGUGCCACUGAACUAAACCCCAGCCACAACUUUAUUAUUGCACAGAUUGUGUUCCCACCAUCUCAAUAGGAUGCAGAACAUUUCAUCAAAGAAACGCCCAAGCUCUGCCUUCAGGGUACCCUGUCCUGCCCCUGCCCCUGUCCUGACAUUCAUCUGUUCUGUCUCUGUAAUUUUGUCAUUUCAAGAAUAAGCAAUCCAAGGGCCGGUGAUUUAGCUCAGCGGCAUAAGGGCUUGCCUGGCAAGUGCAAGGUGGUCAGUUUGAUCCUGCUACAAAAAAAAAAAAAAAAUUUAUGGAGAAAUUUACUAACAAAUUCUGGAUCUUAGCCCUGAAGACUGAAGAAUAAGCAAGCCUUGGCCAGGUGUAGUGGUGCACACCUGUAAUCUCAGCACUCAGAGGCUGAGGCAGAAGGAUCACUGUGAGUUCAAGGCUAACCUGGGUCACCAAAUGAGUUCAAGGCCAACCUGAACUAUAUAGCCUGCCUCCGAAAUAGUAAUAAUAAUAAGAAGAAGAAGAAACAGAAGAAGCGAAACUGUAGUAUAUGACUUCUGAAACUGGCUUUUUCAUUCUACACAAUACCCUUAAAGGCCAUGUAAGUUUUUACAUGUAUCAGUAAAUCUGUCCUAGCCUAGCAUGUUGGGGCACUCCUGCAAUCCCAGCAUGGCAGGGGAGGGUCAGAGGUGGGGGAUUCCAAGUUUGGACCCACCCUGGGCAAUUUAGCUAAGACUUAGCAAGACUCUUGUCUCAAAAUAAAACCGAAAGAGUUGAGAAUGUAGGGAUCAACUCCCAGCAGCAGCAGCAGCAGGACCACCACCACCACCACCAAAAAAUAAACCGUCACUGUCACAGUGAUAGAAUCCUCGAACAUUGUCUAAUGGCGCCGCUCUGUCCGAGGUUAAGCUGUUCCCCAGGAAACCCGCUGAGACCCUUAGCCUGUUCCCCGUGGGUGACAGUGACAUUAUUUGGAAAUAGUCUUUGCAGAUGUAAUCAAGCGAAGACAAGAUCUUGUUCAUCUUAAUGAGGGCAGGUGCUGACUCACGCUGACCAGGGACCUUCGCAAGGUGCGGACACCCGGAAGUAGACACAGGCGAGGCCGGGCAGGCACUGCCACCUGCCGGCGCCCACGUGACCAAGACGGCGGGAACCGGAAGUACGCGACUCAUGCCUGCCUGCCGCUGGAUUCCAGGCUUCUUGCCUCCAGAAAUUGGUUGUUUGAGCUUGGUUCUUUGAAGCUACCACUUUGGGAUCCUCUGCGGCAGCUGCCCUGGACCUGCCGCUGACACAUUCUCCUCCGCCCGGGUGAAGCCUCUCGCAGACUUUAGCUUCUUUGUUCAUUGGCUUUUUUUCUUCCUGUUUAGUUUGAGUUCUUUCUGUACGCUGAAUACAAGUCCUUUGUUGCA